rnacentral:rRNA from 1 species
CAGCCGCCGCGGUAACACAGAGGGUGCAAGCGUUAAUCGGAAUUACUGGGCGUAAAGCGCGCGUAGGUGGUUUGUUAAGUUGGAUGUGAAAGCCCCGGGCUCAACCUGGGAACUGCAUCCAAAACUGGCAAGCUAGAGUACGGUAGAGGGUGGUGGAAUUUCCUGUGUAGCGGUGAAAUGCGUAGAUAUAGGAAGGAACACCAGUGGCGAAGGCGACCACCUGGACUGAUACUGACACUGAGGUGCGAAAGCGUGGGGAGCAAACAGGAUUAGAUACCCCCGUAGUCCCUGUCUCUUAUAC